UGGACCAGUGACGUUAUCUGCCAGUGUAGGAGUCUGAAGGGCAUGAUGAGUAAUACGAAUCUGCAUGUCUGAGGUCCAC
ensembl:snoRNA